GCCGCAGUGGCUCAGUGGUAGAGCACGUCAUUGGUAAUGACGGGGUCGGUGGUUCAAUUCCACCCUGCGGCACCA
rnacentral:tRNA from 3 species